rnacentral:rRNA from 1 species
UUGAACGCUGGCGGCAUGCCUUACACAUGCAAGUCGAACGGCAGCAUGAUCUAGCUUGCUAGAUUGAUGGCGAGUGGCGAACGGGUGAGUAAUACAUCGGAACGUGCCCUGUAGUGGGGGAUAACUAGUCGAAAGAUUAGCUAAUACCGCAUACGACCUGAGGGUGAAAGUGGGGGACCGCAAGGCCUCAUGCUAUAGGAGCGGCCGAUGUCUGAUUAGCUAGUUGGUGGGGUAAAGGCCCACCAAGGCGACGAUCAGUAGCUGGUCUGAGAGGACGAUCAGCCACACUGGGACUGAGACACGGCCCAGACUCCUACGGGAGGCAGCAGUGGGGAAUUUUGGACAAUGGGCGAAAGCCUGAUCCAGCAAUGCCGCGUGUGUGAAGAAGGCCUUCGGGUUGUAAAGCACUUUUGUCCGGAAAGAAAUGGCUCUGGUUAAUACCUGGGGUCGAUGACGGUACCGGAAGAAUAAGGACCGGCUAACUACGUGCCAGCAGCCGCGGUAAUACGUAGGGUCCAAGCGUUAAUCGGAAUUACUGGGCGUAAAGCGUGCGCAGGCGGUUGUGCAAGACCGAUGUGAAAUCCCCGAGCUUAACUUGGGAAUUGCAUUGGUGACUGCACGGCUAGAGUGUGUCAGAGGGGGGUAGAAUUCCACGUGUAGCAGUGAAAUGCGUAGAGAUGUGGAGGAAUACCGAUGGCGAAGGCAGCCCCCUGGGAUAACACUGACGCUCAUGCACGAAAGCGUGGGGGAGCAAACAGGAUUAGAUACCCUGGUAGUCCACGCCCUAAACGAUGUCAACUAGUUGUUGGGGAUUCAUUUCCUUAGUAACGUAGCUAACGCGUGAAGUUGACCGCCUGGGGAGUACGGUCGCAAGAUUAAAACUCAAAGGAAUUGACGGGGACCCGCACAAGCGGUGGAUGAUGUGGAUUAAUUCGAUGCAACGCGAAAAACCUUACCUACCCUUGACAUGCCACUAACGAAGCAGAGAUGCAUUAGGUGCUCGAAAGAGAAAGUGGACACAGGUGCUGCAUGGCUGUCGUCAGCUCGUGUCGUGAGAUGUUGGGUUAAGUCCCGCAACGAGCGCAACCCUUGUCUCUAGUUGCUACGAAAGGGCACUCUAGAGAGACUGCCGGUGACAAACCGGAGGAAGGUGGGGAUGACGUCAAGUCCUCAUGGCCCUUAUGGGUAGGGCUUCACACGUCAUACAAUGGUGCAUACAGAGGGUUGCCAAGCCGCGAGGUGGAGCUAAUCCCAGAAAAUGCAUCGUAGUCCGGAUCGUAGUCUGCAACUCGACUACGUGAAGCUGGAAUCGCUAGUAAUCGCGGAUCAGCAUGCCGCGGUGAAUACGUUCCCGGGUCUUGUACACACCGCC